rnacentral:rRNA from 1 species
GGGAAUUUUCCGCAAUGGGCGAAAGCCUGACGGAGCAACGCCGCGUGAGGGAAGAAGGCCUCUGGGCUGUAAACCUCUUUUCUCAAGGAAGAAGAUCUGACGGUACUUGAGGAAUAAGCCACGGCUAAUUCCGUGCCAGCAGCCGCGGUAAUACGGGAGUGGCAAGCGUUAUCCGGAAUUAUUGGGCGUAAAGCGUCCGCAGGCGGCCUUUCAAGUCUGCUGUUAAAGCGUGGAGCUUAACUCCAUUAAGGCAGUGGAAACUGUUGGGCUUGAGUGUGGUAGGGACAGAGGGAAUUCCCGGUGUAGCGGUGAAAUGCGUAGAUAUCGGGAAGAACACCAGUGGCGAAGGCGCUCUGCUGGGCCAUAACUGACGCUCAUGGACGAAAGCCAGGGGAGCGAAAGGGAUUAGAUACCCCUGUAGUCA